rnacentral:sRNA from 1 species
AGGUUCGACUCGAGCGAAGCGAGAGAACGUUGCGUCAGCAACGGCCCGCA